UCUCCUAUUGUUGUUGCUGGGAGCUGGCAGCCAGGGGUAGUUGUGGCAGGGAAAGCAUGUGGACGAAAAGCUGGAACCCGUUGCUAGGUAAGGACCGCCUUCCCUUCUUCCAGGCCUGCAUGCACUUGCACAAUCAAGAAAUACCAUGGAGCUCACUCAGUGUCUUCCAUCUGCUUUUACAGGAGACUGCAGAACUGCAAGGUGAACACAUUGGCAUCCUCUCUCCAUAUCUGGUCCCUGAGGCUUGUUUCCCACCAUUCACAGGUAUGUCUGUCUCAGAUUGCACCCAAAAAGAUACAGUAGUUAUUUGGCAAGAUGAAAUCAAGGCACACAAAGAAAAGGCUUCUGAGAAUCCAUUGAGAGGCUUUCAGGCCCUCAGAAGUUGUACCAACCAGAAUCCACUCUCAACUACCUUGGGCAUGUGCCUGCUUUGA
rnacentral:lncRNA from 1 species